rnacentral:tRNA from 1 species
GCCUCGCUAGUUUAAUGGCCAAAACCGCAGACUCUUAAUCUGUCAGACUCUGGGUUCGAAUCCCAGGCGGGGCAC